AGGAUGAACGCUGGCGGUAUGCUUAACACAUGCAAGUCGAACGGUUUCUUCGGAGAUAGUGGCGGACGGUUGAGUAACGCGUGAGAAUCUAGCUUCAGGUCGGGGACAACCACGGGAAACUGUGGCUAAUACCGGAUAUGCCGAGAGUUGAAAGGCUUGCUGCCUGAAGAUGAGCUCGCGUCUGAUUAGCUAGUUGGUAGGGUAAAAGCCUACCUAGGCGACGAUCAGUAGCUGGUCUGAGAGGAUGAUCAGCCACACUGGGACUGAGACACGGCCCAGACUCUACGGGAGGCAGCAGUGGGGAAUUUUCCGCAAUGGGCGAAAGCCUGACGGAGCAAUACCGCGUGAGGGAGGAAGGCUCUUGGGUUGUAAACCUCUUUUCUCAGGGAAGAAAAAAAUGACGGUACCUGAGGAAUAAGCAUCGGCUAACUCCGUGCCAGCAGCCGCGGUAAUACGGAGGAUGCAAGCGUUAUCCGGAAUGAUUGGGCGUAAAGGGUCCGCAGGUGGCUAUGUAAGUCUGCUGUUAAAGAAUCUAGCUCAACUAGAUAAAAGCAGUGGAAACUACAAGGCUAGAGUGCGUUCGGGGUAGAGGGAAUUCCUGGUGUAGCGGUGAAAUGCGUAGAUAUCAGGAAGAACACCAGUGGCGAAGGCGCUCUACUAGGCCGCAACUGACACUGAGGGACGAAAGCUAGGGGAGCGAAUGGGAUUAGAUACCCCAGUAGUCCUAGCCGUAAACGAUGGAUACUAGGCGUGGCUUGUAUCGACCCAAGCCGUGCCGGAGCUAACGCGUUAAGUAUCCCGCCUGGGGAGUACGCACGCAAGUGUGAAACUCAAAGGAAUUGACGGGGGCCCGCACAAGCGGUGGAGUAUGUGGUUUAAUUCGAUGCAACGCGAAGAACCUUACCAAGACUUGACAUGUCGCGAAUCUCUCUGAAAGGAGAGAGUGCCUUCGGGAGCGCGAACACAGGUGGUGCAUGGCUGUCGUCAGCUCGUGUCGUGAGAUGUUGGGUUAAGUCCCGCAACGAGCGCAACCCUCGUUUUUAGUUGCCAGCAUUAAGUUGGGCACUCUAGAGAGACUGCCGGUGACAAACCGGAGGAAGGUGGGGAUGACGUCAAGUCAGCAUGCCCCUUACGUCUUGGGCUACACACGUACUACAAUGCUACGGACAAAGGGCAGCUACACAGCAAUGUGAUGCAAAUCUCACAAAACCGUAGCUCAGUUCAGAUCGCAGGCUGCAACUCGCCUGCGUGAAGUCGGAAUCGCUAGUAAUUGCAGGUCAGCAUACUGCAGUGAAUUCGUUCCCGGGCCUUGUACACACCGCCCGUCACACCAUGGAAGCUGGUCACGCCCAAGUCGUUACCCCAACUGUUCGCAGAGGGGGAUGCCAAGGCAGGACUGGUGACUGGG
rnacentral:rRNA from 1 species